rnacentral:lncRNA from 1 species
UUGAAUUUCCAGACGUUGAUACUGUAGCUUUCUUACAAGUACCUACAAUUUCCACAUAUGUAUGACAGGAUGGCUGAGUCUGCAAUUUUCAAAUUCUGUAGAUUAUUGCAAGAGCAAAUGAGUUGGGGAAGAAUCCAAUAAAUUUAAGCAGACGAUAUUGCGAAGAGUUUCAUUGUGAUAUGUCAAAUCUACAUUGUCUUCCUCCUUCAGUGGAACCUCGAGUGUCUGAUCACAUUCCAGAAAUCAUUGAGAUGAUUAAGCAGGUACCUCUUUCUUCUUCUUUCUUUGGUGCCUUGGGAUAAAGAAAUUUCUCUUGCAGUUUGUCCACCUCUAUUGAAAGUGUUUACCAUUUAUUUUAUUUUAUUCUUUUAUUUUGGCAAAAAAUUUGUAUAUUUAUGGAGGAAACUCUAAAUAUACGCCCUCAGUUGCAUUGAAAACUUUAAUUUGAGUAAUCCAAGAUCAAAUCCCUUUUGUCCUUGUAGCUCUGGAAAGGAAAUUGUUCCUGGAUAUUUUGUAGACAUUGUAAACUAGUGAAAAUUCAUUUUUCUUUUAAUUUGAACUCUCAAGUUCAUGAUUUUGCUUUGAUCUAUCUCUUUAUCCUUAGAUUUUGACAUUACAAAGAAACUUAGCAUGUUAGCAUUAAGUGGAGACUUUAUGCUUUUGUGACAGAUACUUGAUAAUGGGUGGGCGUACACUCUCCAAGGUGAUGUGUACUUCUCUGUAGACAACUUCCCCUACUAUGGACGAUUAUCUGGCCGUAAGUUAGAAGAUAAUAGAGCGGGUGAACGGGUGGCAGUGGACUCAAGGAAGAAAAACCCAGCUGACUUUGCAUUAUGGAAAGUAAUUGCUUGUAACUUCGGCUGUGUUCAUAUGUAUUUAGAAAAAAAUGUAUUUAUACAUCUAUAGAUGGUUGCAAAGCAUAUAUGUAUACCUGCCUUAAUAUUUAGGUAAAUGAUAGUUGCAUCCUUUAUUGAUUGUCAUAAUUCAGGAUACCUUUCCUCAUGAUUCUUGAAUUUACUUUUACCCUCAAUAUUUUCAUUCAAUGUUAUUGAUGGUAGGUUCGAUUUUAUGAGUUUCAUUUAUAUUUUUAUACCAGAAGGGAGGUUGGUUUAAUCAAUCUAACUAGAGCAUAAGAUAGUUUACAAUUCUUUUUUACUGACCACAUUCACUUCCUUAAUAAUAGUGGGGCAAGAAGGACAUUCAGUAUUCACUUUUCAGUUAACUAGAGAGAAGUUUGCAUCAGCAUGGUUGUUGAAUUUCAUCCUUGUUCAUUGUGAAGGUCUACCAUUUUUUUCCAAUCAUUCUAGUGCUUGUCUUCUGUUUACAGUCUGCAAAGGAGGGAGAACCUUUUUGGGAGAGUCCGUGGGGUCCUGGUAGACCCGGAUGGCAUAUCGAGUGCAGUGCCAUGAGCGCUACUUAUCUAGGUUAUUCUUUUGACAUUCAUCGUGGGGGAAUGGAUCUUAUUUUUCCCCAUCAUGAAAAUGAGAUAGCGCAAAGCUGUGCUGCGUGCCAUAAGAGCAAUGUAAGAUAUUGGAUACAUAAUGGAUUUGUGACUAUUGACUCGGAGAAGAUGUCAAAGUCUCUUGGAAACUUUUUCACAAUUCGGCAGGUACAGGGAAAUAAAUUGUCCUCUCAAUCUCUCGCACACACAUACAUGUAGAAACAAAUAAAUUCCACUUGUUUGCAAUCUGACAACUCAAUAAUCUGAUAUUGUUCAAUGCUUCCAAUUUUAGUAGUUUUUCUCUAUUCUAUUUUCUUGACCGGUAUUAUUAUUAUUUUUUUUUUUUUUUAUUAUUAUUUUUUUUUCUAGGUCUUAGAACAUUAUCAUCCACUGGCUUUGAGACUUUUCCUAAUGGGGACUCAUUAUCGUUCGCCAAUCAAUUACUCAGAGAUACAGCUUGAAAGUGCAUCAGAGCGUGUUUUUUACAUCUAUCAGGUACAAUCCCCUCAAUCCUUGGGCUGGCACAAUGAAGGCUCGACUCUGUUUCAUUUUGUACUUAUUAAUUCCUUUUCUCCUGUAUCAAGCGUUUUCAUAGUUUGAAAUUUGAAUAAUUCAAAAGUAACUGCUUUUGCAAGGUCUCGUACCAUCAGAGUUCUGCAUGCAUUAUGCCCUAGUUACCGUGUGAUAUUGUGUUGACGCACUGCUUUACCACGCUUCCAAGCCUGUCCCUGUAUUCUAUAUUUUUUUAUCUCUUAACCAGGGGGCCAGGAGUUUCUCCUUCCUUCUUUUUUUUUUUUUUUUUUUUUUUUUCAAAUAAUAGAAAAAGAUUAUCUAAACAUAAUCAAUGCGACGGAAUAAUGGAAAAGAAAAGGCAAAGGAUGGAUUCAACUUUCGAUAUACAGAGGCUCUUAAUUUUUCAAGAUAAAAAUUUGAAAUGAAAUUGCAAGCUUCGAAUUAACUUCAAACCAAAAUUAACGUUUGUGAUGUAGUUGUGAGGAUAUGAUCACAUUGAAUCUUCGUAGCUAUGGAUGAAAUGAAGUGGUGAAAUAGAAUUUUAUGUAGUUGACCCCCAAUUUAUGUGGGAUAAGUCUUUUUUUGAAGUCUCUUUAAGCACAACGAAGAAUAAUCUUUCUAAAAUACUCUUUGUUGAUGCUCUUAUAUUUACACAACUAGAAUAUUGGGUAUUAGUUCGCUGCAAAACUUGUAUGUCUUCAUAUUUUAACUGUAAGGUCAGUGUAACAAAUAUGGUCAUGCUCUGGUUGCAGACAUUACAUGAUUGUGAGAAUAUCCUGUCCCAGCAUGAUGAGGCAAGCCGGAAACAUUCUAUUCCAUCAGGAACUACACUUUGUAUUGAUAAAUUUAAUGAUGAGUUUUUUUAUUUCAAUGUCUGAUGAUAUCCGUACUCCCGUAACUUUGGCUGCAAUGUCAGAGCCAUUGAAGACCAUCAAUGACCUUCUACAUACUCGUAAGGUAUUUUGGUUUUAGUCGCAUGAUUAAGCAAUUUUAUUUGUCGGUUCAAUUUUCCUAUAGUGGUAUAUAUCUAAAUGCUUGUUUUCUUCUUCAGUUCCAAUCAGAUAAGUAUUUUUUGUAGAUAAUCUAAAGCAUGGAUGAGAUAGUAGACAUAGUUUCCAGAAACAAUAAAUCUGUAUACUAAUUUACACUGUCUUUUUCGGCAGUGUAGUUGUUUCUUGGAUUUUAACAUAACUAUUGAUGUCUUUUUCAAUUAUGUGUUAUAAUCUUAUUCUCUCAUUGAAAGUUGAAUUAGGCUUAUUUGUGUCCUUUUAUGACCUCUGUUAUUCUCAGGGCAAGAAGCAAGAAUUACGAAUAGAAUCACUUGCAGCUUUAGAAAAUACCAUGAGAAAUGUUCGGACUGUUUUGGGACUCUUGCCAAGUAGUUACUCUGAGGUAAUAAGUCUCUGUCUCUGUCUCUCUGACGAACCUCCACACCCCACAAAAAAAAAAAAUGAAAAAUUUAAAAACAAACACCCUCCACAACCCACAAAAAAAAAAAAAGAAAGAAAAAUAUAAGAACGAAGAUUUGUUUAAUGUGCACGCAUUUAUGUGGGCCUUUGUGAUGUUCUCUAGAAUUUGAUGCUGUAUUUAAGUUGGCCUUGCAUUUUAGUUUUCAUGUUGCACUAGACGUGUUUUGUUUCUGAUAUCUAGCAAUCGAAUUGCAAGUCUGUUGCAAAAGGCAUAAAUUACUUACUUUCAUGUGAUUUUAAAAUCCUUCGAAAUUUUUAGUCACUCUCUUUUUAUUGCAUCUGCUUCUACCAAGUAAAACCAUCCUGCAUUGCUCAUCACCGAUGAUGUCAAUUUUUUGUGGCGUCAAUUUUUUUUAACGCUAUCUGCGGGUUUUAUUUCAAAAUUAGGCCUUUGUCAGGCAUUAUAAUCCUUAAUUAAUGAAUAAAAUUGAUUUUGAGCUUAUGGUUAUACAUGUUCCAGGCUUUGCAGCAGCUACGAGAUUAUGCACUGAAGCGCGUAAAGUUGACAGAAGAUCAAGUGCUACAGAAGAUUGAAGAAAGGAAUAGUGCAAGAAAAAAUAAGCAAUAUGAAGAAUCCGAUGCAAUUCGAAAAUAUUUGUCGGGUUUAGGCAUUGCACUCAUGGACAGCCCAGAGUGCACAACUUGGAGACCAGCUAUUCCUUUGGUUUUGAAAGAACAGCAGGUCGCAGGAAGCUGAAUCUGAUUGGAACAUACCGUUUCAUAAGUUUGCAAUGAAAGAUAUAAUGAAUCCACGGUUAACUCUUUAAAUUUGGAGAAUAGCAUAUGGGAUUUCACCAUGCAGUUUAUUUUGUCGGUGUAUUUUAGUUGAUAAAACAAUCAUGCCUGAUGAAAAUGCUUUCACUUAUUCUCAAGCCGUUUAACUUUCUUUGUUGUAAGCAUGAUGAAUUUUUGUUCUGUUCUUAAGGGGACAAAAAAGGGGGGGAGAGGCUAUUUUCACCAGUGCAUUCUAUUGCUUGUAGUUAAUGAAGGUAGUCAUCUUGUGGACUCGAAUUUGAACCCAGUUUCUUGGUGGAAGAAGAAUUUUAUUCCAGAGGCUCAGAUUUACAAGGUUAUCAAUGUACAGAAAAAUCAAUUAGAGCUUCUCAAAUUCGAAGUUCAGUUUAACUCAGUUUUAAAAUUAGCCAAUGCUUUACAAGUUGUGCCAAAUAUUGACACAAUGACAAUAAAAUUUAUGAACUGUACUCUUGUCGAUAGUUUACUUACCCCAGCCUUAAAUCUUC